rnacentral:rRNA from 1 species
UGGGGAAUAUUGGACAAUGGACCAAAAGCCUGAUCCAGCAAUUCUGUGUGCACGAUGACGUUUUUCGGAAUGUAAAGUGCUUUCAGUUGGGAAGAAAAAAAUGACGGUACCAACAGAAGAAGUGACGGCUAAAUACGUGCCAGCAGCCGCGGUAAUACGUAUGUCACAAGCGUUAUCCGGAUUUAUUGGGCGUAAAGCACGUCUAGGUGGUUAUGUAAGCCUGAUGUGAAAAUGCAGGGCUCAACUCUGUAUUGCGUUGGAAACUGCAUGACUAGAGUACUGGAGAGGUAAGCGGAACUACAAGUGUAGAGGUGAAAUUCGUAGAUAUUUGUAGGAAUGCCGAUGGGGAAGCCAGCUUACUGGACAGAUACUGACGCUAAAGCGCGAAAGCGUGGGUAGCAAACAGGAUUAGAUACCCUGGUAGUCCACGCCGUAAACGAUGAUUACUAGGUGUUGGGGGUCGAACCUCAGCGCCCAAGCUAACGCGAUAAGUAAUCCGCCUGGGGAGUACGUACGCAAGUAUG